AAUCUGCCUUGUUGUGGGGGAUAACGUAGGGAAACUUACGCUAAUACCGCAUAAGACCGUAAGGUGAAAGCGGGGGAUCGUAAGACCUCGCGCGACAAGAUGAGCCGAUGUCGGAUUAGCUAGUUGGUGAGGUAAUGGCUCACCAAGGCGACGAUCCGUAGCUGGUCUGAGAGGAUGAUCAGCCACACUGGAACUGAGACACGGUCCAGACUCCUACGGGAGGCAGCAGUGGGGAAUAUUGGACAAUGGGCGCAAGCCUGAUCCAGCCAUGCCGCGUGUGU
rnacentral:rRNA from 1 species